rnacentral:rRNA from 1 species
AGCGGCGGAUGGGUGAGUAACACGUGGGGAACCUGCCCCUAAGUCUGGGAUACCAUUUGGAAACAGGUGCUAAUACCGGAUAAUAAAGCAGAUCGCAUGAUCAGCUUUUGAAAGGCGGCGUAAGCUGUCGCUAAGGGAUGGCCCCGCGGUGCAUUAGCUAGUUGGUAAGGUAACGGCUUACCAAGGCGACGAUGCAUAGCCGAGUUGAGAGACUGAUCGGCCACAUUGGGACUGAGACACGGCCCAAACUCCUACGGGAGGCAGCAGUAGGGAAUCUUCCACAAUGGACGCAAGUCUGAUGGAGCAACGCCGCGUGAGUGAAGAAGGUUUUCGGAUCGUAAAGCUCUGUUGUUGGUGAGGAAGGAUAGAGGUAGUAACUGGCCUUUAUUUGACGGUAAUCAACCAGAAAGUCACGGCUAACUACAUGCCAGCAGCCGCGGUAAUACAUAGGUGGCAAGCGUUGUCCGGAUUUAUUGGGCGUAAAGCGAGCGCAGGCGGAAAAAUAAGUCUAAUGUGAAAGCCCCCGGCUUAACCGAGGAACUGCAUCGGAAACUGUUUUUCUUGAGUGCAGAAGAGGAGAGUGGAACUCCAUGUGUAGCGGUGGAAUGCGUAGAUAUAUGGAAGAACACCAGUGGCGAAGGCGGCUCUCUGGUCUGCAACUGACGCUGAGGCUCGAAAGCAUGGGUAGCGAACAGGAUUAGAUACCCUGGUAGUCCAUGCCGUAAACGAUGAGUGCUAAGUGU